rnacentral:lncRNA from 10 species
GACAGGGUCUGGCUGUUUUGCCCAGAAUGGAGUGCAGUGGCGUGAUGGUCUCGGCUGACAGCAGCCUCGACCUCCUGGGCUCAAGCCUUGGCCUCCCAAAGUGCUGGGAUUACAGCCACCAUCCUGUGAGGAAGCCCAGAGCACAUGAAGAGACCACCUGCACAUGUUCAGAUCCACUGCCCCAGCUAAGAUCUCCGCUGACAGCCAGACCAAUCACCAAUCUUAGGAGCUGGCGAGCCUUCAGAUGGUCCAACCUUUGAGGCCCCCCAGAGGAGCCAGGUGGAGCAUAGAUGAGCCAUCCAUGUGGAUCCCUCCACCAAAUGGAAGAUUUAGGAGCAAAAUAAACAAUGUUGUCA